AAUGGCAUAUGACAUCUCUGCAAAUACCAUUUUGAACACAUGAGCUUGGGGAGAUUUGCCUUUAGACUUCUCAGUGAUCCAGUUAACGUAUUGUGGCCAAGACUGUCCAGGGGGUUGAGACAUGCCUAGCCAUUGCAAAGUGAGGUGUCGCAGUUGUUCAGCAAAGGGGCAGUACAGGAACAAAUGAUCUCUAGUCUCCAUUGUGUGCUGACACAUAACACAGCUACCAUCAACACUCAAAUGCCAUUUGAUCAACCUCUCUUUGGUAGGAAGCCUGUCUUGGAGCAGCAGCCAGAGGUUGAAGAGUGCUUUAGGUCGGGCAGCAUUCUGCAUGGUUAGGUUUUCCCAUGGAACUCUAGGCAAUUGACCAAUUUGUUGAAGACAGAUUAAUCUGAUAGAACAUGUAUGGUAUGCAGCAGCUGGUGUUGUUGCAGUAGCCUAGCACUUUCAAUGAUCUUCCGGACUAUCCAACUUGCUUGUGCAGGAAUAUUCAUGUUUUCCAGUUGUUGAUGUUUAAUAUACACUGUAUGGAUCCACUUUACCCAUAAUAGGUCUUUCUUGUGAGCCAAAUCCCAGGCUAGUUUUUGCAACAGC
rnacentral:lncRNA from 1 species